GAUGAAGAACGUAGCGAAGUGCGAUAAGUAAUGUGAAUUGCAGAAUUCCGUGAAUCAUCGAAUCUUUGAACGCAAAUUGCACUUUCUGGUAUUCCGGAAAGUAUGCCUGUUUGAGGGUCAGUUAAAUAAAAAUCGGUGUUGUUGCUGCUUUUCGUGGUGACGCGUCGGAAUUGGGUCGUCUUACCUUCGGUUAAGUGACUUAAAUUUUUUUUAUGGUUUUCGAACGUAUUUAAAUUUUUUUGUACGUUUGAGAUAUCGAAUGUUUAUUAGGUUCGGUCAUCCUCAUGACUCGCGCCUAUAAUUUUUCAUUAAAUGACCUCAAAUCAGGUAAGAAUACCCGCUGAACUUAAGCAUAUCAAUAAGCGGAGGA
rnacentral:misc_RNA from 1 species